rnacentral:lncRNA from 1 species
GGUUUGUUUGUUUGCCUUUUAUUUUUAACCCCCCUUCCGUGUGACUUUUUAAAGGAAAAAAAAACCCCCAUUCAUAACGACACACGGCAUUUGUAAGUUAAUUCCCUUCAAGUUGAAGAUGUCUAUAUUUUUUUUUCAGAAUAAUUUAUGUAAUUGUAGGGUGGGAAAAAAAGCGUUGACAGCUGUGAUUUGUCUCGCCAAAAAUAAAUUGCUUGAACCGAGACUUGUGAAUAGUGGUGUGAGGGUUUUCCUUGCUGAAGUUUAAAUUUAGAGUCGCUUUUCUAGUGCACAUCUUGGCUUUACCUUUGCUGUCCUAGUAGUUUGUUAUUUAUGUAUACCAUUUUUUCUACAGUAAUACUUACUGAAACGUACAUAUUUUACACCAAGGGUUAAAAAAAUACAUCAAACUAAAUAACCAAUCUUGGACAAAUGUCAUCAGUAAUAACCUCCUAGUGACUUUAAAUGUCUUUAAGUCAUCUGUAGAAGAAUAUGGGUUUAUGGCUGAUGUUAGAUAGUUGCUGUAUUUACAUGGGGUCUCCUUCUCACCCCCAGUUUUCCUUUAGUGAAUAAAUUGUGCCCUUCUGGCAAACUAUUGAAAUGCUAUGUAUAAAGGACUUUGAACACUUUAGGAAAUUAAGUGGGCCCACAUAGAUUAUUCUUUUCAUAAUCAAGUGAGUCUCAGUUAGAAUUUCAGAGUUCUAAAUGUGGGUAUUACACGCACUUUUUAAUUUCAUGUUUUCAUGUGGAAUUCCACUUAGCCUUUUAAUCAGAUGUGGUGAGUUCUAAAUUUGAAGCACACACAGGAUUACUUUAAUUAUAAAUGUGAUCCACUGUUCAGUUAUAUUGGUUCCAUAUGGCAGUGGUUUUGGAGUAGAGCCAGAGAGAAAACUGGUAAGGAGCACUUCUGUGAGUACUGUGAUUAGUUGCUGGUGGAAUUUUCAGUCUGGGUUUAUCAUCCUUGGAGAGUACAGUAGUGCAUUACAGUUCUUGGUAUGAACUGGAUGGAGCCUUAUUUCUUUUUCUCUCUCUCAGUGUGCUUCAGGAACAGUAGGUGCUUGAGUGUUGGCCUACUCUUGGGCUUUUGUUUUGCAGGAAGGAUUCUGAAAGGAUGUUGAGGAGGGGGACAGGAAAAGUGGAUCAGAGGAUGAAAUGUGACCACAACCAUAGGGGCAGGAAUUUAGGAGGAAGAGCAGAAGUAAUCCAAGAGGAUUUUGAAGAAGAUACUUUUAGAGUUGAAAUGUUUCUCUUCAGUGUGUCCUUUUAAAAAACAAAAAACAAAACCCCCAAAACCUUGUGUCACUGUGUAGCCGGGUGGCGGUGGCUUCAAAUUCAAAUGUGAUUUUGCAUUUGCAAAUUCCUCUGCAUCAGGUUUUUGAGUGCCAAGAAUAUAGUGGUGUGUACUGCCAGACCUUGAGUAUAUUACUAAGAGAUGUCCUAAUGUCUCAAGGUGGAUAAAGGAAGACUUGAGAUGGCGCUGGGUCAGCUACCUAAAGAGAGUCUAGAUUACUCUGGGGAAAAAAGUUGUAAAAAUCUGAAGUCUUAGAAAAUCUUAUGUCUCCUAUGGUGAAUGUACAACUUCUAGUUUGUUAUGUAAUCCGUUGGUACAUGCCAGAAUUGCCUCAGUUCUUUCUAAGUAAGGGAACUGAGGCUUAAGCCAGAGAGAGACCUGUUUCCUCUGACUGAGUUCAUCAGAUUAUAUUGUAUAGAUUUAAAUGUCUUCAACCAGAGAUAGCCCAGUGGGCAAAAGAAACUUGGCUAUUGGAAGCUCUGAGCCUGAAGACUUGAGCUGGACAGAUUUGAUUGAGAUGGCCUACACUGUGUUGAUCAUCCUAGCCUUCACCGUGUGGUUCUCCUUGAUCCUCUUGCCUCUGUCUCCUGAGUGAUAUAGGUUUACAUCCCCAAAUCCAGCUUGCACAUGGACUUUUUUUCUUCCAUAUUUAUUUAUUUUGAUGGGGGAGGUGUGCAAUAGCACGUGUGUAGGGGUCAGAGGACAACUUGGGAGAGUUGUGAGGAAGCUAAGGAUAAAAUUAGGUCCUCAGAUUUGGCAGCAAGGGCCUUUACCAGCUGAGCCAUUUUGUUGGCCCCAUGCAUAGAUUCUUUUUCAAAUUAUUACUGCAUUUAUUUAUUUAUUUAUUUAUUUAUUUAUUUAUGUGUAUGAAUGUGUAUGUGCACGUGCAUGUGUGUGUGCAUGUGUGCUUGCAUAAUGCCAUAGUACAGCAUUGGGGGUAAGGUGACAACUUUGGUCGUUGGUUCUCUCUUUCCACCAGAAGAGUGAACUCAGGACAUCAGAAUUGGUGACAAGGUCCUUUAUUCACAGAGCCACCUCACAGCACUGCAUAGAUUCUUGAUUGCAUUUAUUAGCCUCAUUCACAGUGUCUCUAUUUGUAUGUCAGAUUGAAUUCAGUAAAAAGAAAAAUAGUGAAUGCAGAUCUCUUCGGUCAUACUCAUUAACUAUGGGAUCUAGAGUAAGUUGAUUUUGUUUUCUUCUUUGUAAAGUGAGGGUCAAAUGAAAUAAAAUUUAAAGAUUUCUCAAAAUACCCUGGCUUACUGGACAUUUUGCUGGUUCACAGACUGUACGUUGUCAGAACCAGCCAUUGCUGUGUCCAAGUCAUUUUACCAUUAGCUGUGCAUAGCCACUCAAUAGCAAGUCCAAGUAUCCGCAGCUACUGUGGUUUUAGAAUUAAUCGUCUUUUAUUCGUUUGUCAUUGAUCACACAAAUAAUACCUUUGUGAGUAUUUUGUACUGGAAUCUAUAUUAGUAAGUAUAGGCAUUUAUGUAGUUAAUUUUUUUGUUGUUGUUGGGUUUUGUUUGUUUGUUUUUUGUUUUUUCGAGACAGGGUUUCUCUGUAUAGCUCUGGCUGUCCUGGAACUCACUCUGUAGACCAGGCUGGCCUCGAACUCAGAAAUCUGCCUGCCUCUGCCUCCCGAGUGCUCGGAUUAAAGGCGCGCGCCACCAUGCCCGGCUAGUUAAUUCUUUAGUCAGUAAAUGAUGAAACUAAAUUGAUAAUUUAAAGAUAAAGCUGAGUAUCUAUUAUCUGAGUU